CCAGUCGGCCGGACGGUUGCUGCUGCAAGUGCCGAAAGGCCGCAGGGGAGGAAAGUCCGGGCUCCAUGGAGACACGGUGCCGGAUAACGUCCGGCGAGGGUGACCUUAGGGAAAGUGCCGCAGAAAGCAAACCGCCAGUGCAUGCAUUGGUAAGGGUGAAAGGGUGGAGUAAGAGCCCACCGCGUUUUUGGCAACAAAAACGGCAUGGUAAACCCCACCGGGAGCAAGACCGAAUAGGGGCGGCGCGGAAGUUUUCUUCCAGUCAUGUUUCCAGACCUGACCGCCCGGGUUGGUCGCUAGAGGUGUUCAGCAAUGGGCAUCCCAGAUGAAUUGCCGUCACGUACAGGGGUAACAGCCUGUGCCUUACAAAACCCGGCUUACAGGCCGACUGGUAUU
rfam:Pseudovibrio sp. FO-BEG1, complete genome.